rnacentral:rRNA from 1 species
AGAGCGAACGCUGGCGGCAGGCCUAAAACAUGCAAGUCGAACGGACCCUUCGGGGUUAGUGGCGGACGGGUGAGUAACACGUGGGAACGUGCCUUUUGGUUCAGAACAACUCAGGGAAACUUGAGCUAAUACUGAAUAAGCCCUACGGGGGAAAGAUUUAUCGCCAUUAGAGCGGCCCGCGUUGGAUUAGCUAGUUGGUGAGGUAAAGGCUCACCAAGGCUACGAUCCAUAGCUGGUCUGAGAGGAUGAUCAGCCACACUGGGACUGAGACACGGCCCAGACUCCUACGGGAGGCAGCAGUUAGGAAUCUUGCGCAAUGGGCGAAAGCCUGACGCAGCCAUGCCGCGUGAAUGAUGAAGGUCUUAGGAUUGUAAAAUUCUUUCAGUGGGAAGAUAAUGACUGUACCCACAGAAGAAGCUCCGGCUAACUUCGUGCCAGCAGCCGC